GAUGAACGCUGGCGGCGUGCUUAACACAUGCAAGUCGAACGAUGAAGCCCAGCUUGCUGGGUGGAUUAGUGGCGAACGGGUGAGUAACACGUGAGUAACCUGCCCUUAACUCUGGGAUAAGCCUGGGAAACUGGGGCUAAUACCGGAUAGGAGCGUCCACCGCAUGGGGGGUGGUGGAAAGAUUUAUCGGUUUUGGAUGGACUCGCGGCCUAUCAGCUUGUUGGUGAGGUAAUGGCUCACCAAGGCGACGACGGGUAGCCGGCCUGAGAGGGUGACCGGCCACACUGGGACUGAGACACGGCCCAGACUCCUACGGGAGGCAGCAGUGGGGAAUAUUGCACAAUGGGCGCAAGCCUGAUGCAGCGACGCCGCGUGCGGGAUGACGGCCUUCGGGUUGUAAACCUCUUUCAGUAGGGAAGAAGCGAAAGUGACGGUACCUGCAGAAGAAGCACCGGCUAACUACGUG
rnacentral:rRNA from 1 species